AUUCUUGUGCAGAGACAAUUUCAUAGUCUAUGAAGUUCUACUGAGACGUGAUUAUUGCUGGUUGAAAACUUUAACCAAUUCCCCGCCUGGAUGAUUUGAAACACAGUCAGCUAUGGCAAUUUUGCUAGUCUCUCAGGAGA